rfam:Heterocephalus glaber contig233109, whole genome shotgun sequence.
AGCUUUGUGCAGUGGCAGUAUUGUAGCCAAUAAGGUUUAUCCAAGGCACGAUUAUUGCUAAUUGAAAAGAACCCUUGUGAUUAUAUUGGGUCCACUUAAGAAUCUAGGAUAAUCUCCCUACAUUAAGA